rnacentral:rRNA from 1 species
GACGAACGCUGGCGGCGUGCCUAAUACAUGCAUAGACGACAAGUUGCGAACGGGUGAGUAACGCGUGGUAACCUACCUAGUAGAGGGGGAUAACAAUUGGAAACGAUAGCAAAUACCGCAUACUAGUAGAUGGACCUGCGUUGUAUGGGCGAGUAGGUGGGGUAACGGCUCACCUAGGCGACGAGCCCUAGCGGGUCGGAGAGGAUGACCAGCCACACUGGAAAGUAGACACGGUCCAGACUCCUACGGGAGGCAGCAGUGGGGAAUAUUGCACAAUGGGCGCAAGCCUGAUGAAGCCAUGCCGCGUGUAUGAAGAAGGCCUUCGGGUUGUAAAGGACUUUCAGCGAGGAGGCGUUACUCGCAGAAGAAGCACCGGCUAACUCCGUGCCAGCAGCCGCGGUAAUUC